rnacentral:rRNA from 1 species
UACGUAGGGUGCAAGCGUUGUCCGGAAUUAUUGGGCGUAAAGAGCUCGUAGGCGGUUUGUUGCGUCGGCUGUGAAAUCCCGAGGCUCAACCUCGGGUCUGCAGUCGAUACGAGCAAACUAGAGUGUCGCAGGGGAGACUGGAAUUCCUGGUGUAGCGGUGAAAUGCGCAGAUAUCAGGAGGGAACACCGGUGGCGAAGGCGGGUCUCUGGGCAACAACUGACGCUGGAGGAGCGAAAAGCCGUGGGGGAGCGAAACAGG